GAAAGCGCCAGAAGGCCUGAAGGAUGCUCUGUCUUUUCUGCAGGAUGGCUCUGAGUGCUCGGUGGGGGAGUGACGGUGGUGGGAGUUGAAGAACCGAGGAACCGAGGAGCUGCGAGGAUACGAGUUGGGUGGCAGGGAGCUGGGGGGCAGGGAGCGCGGGGAGGCCUCUCAGCGGUGGAGAGCCCGAGGGGACACAGCGCCUGGCUGCUCCUUCAAGCAGACGCCCGCUCCACAAUGGGCAUUCUUCUUAGUGGAGGAAGGCCUGCCCCGACCCUGGCUUGCGCCGCACCCUUUCCUGUUUUUGACUCUGCUCCUCACCAGCUUCAUGAUUCCUUCUCCCCUUUUGUCCUCACCUCGUCCGGCAGAUCUGGUGUGCGUUGUUGUCUUCCCGGUCCUCCAGACCUGGGCUGCGGGCCUCCUCCCCACUGUCUGACCCUUUCUUCAGAAGGCUUCCAGGGAGGCCCAGUGUAAGGAUUUAAAAGGAUUUACUGAAUAUCUGAUGACUCCUUAUGGGAACUAUGGGAGAUAGGUAAGUGACAAGUAUUUUUAAAAAAUACGUAUUUCUGAAACAUUAAGUAAUUUAAUCUUAUAGGUUCCUG
rnacentral:lncRNA from 1 species